rnacentral:lncRNA from 1 species
UCACCCAGCUGUUAUGCCGCUUCUGCCUGCAAGAUGAGAAAGACACCUCCCCUUCCCAGGAGAGUCUCCGAGUCUGGGCCUUGCCACUCCUCACUCAGCAUCUGACCAUCCCCACCUCCUGGAUCUACAGGGUUCAUAGAGGAGGACCCAGAAGAGGGAAAGUCAGGCUGAGGAACUUGGCCUCCCUGCUGCAAGGGAAAUGACAUCGGUUACCAAGGAGGUGACCAGCUAUCCUUUUCCAAGACUGAAAAGCAGAAAUACGGCCCUGAGGCUAGAGGGUCUAAGAGAACAAUAGGAAGAAUUUCCUGACAAAGGACAAUGUUGCCUAAAGGACUCAGGAAGCUCUGUGAAAACAGGAGACUCCCGAGCAGAGCACCAGACCCUUCUCCACCAGGCAGUGUUUUUCCCAUAUGACAGGUGAGAAAACUGAGGCUGAGAGACAUGUAAUAACUUGCUGAAGCAGCAACCAGCACACCAUAUAGCUGAAAUCUGUAGAUCAGCAGUUAAAAGUGGUAGGGCAAGUCCUCUCUGACUUUCAGCGCUAAGAGCCUAGGAUUCUGUGUUUUUCUGCUUAAGCCUGGGAAUCAGAGUCCUACAAAAGCCGCGCCUAAUCCUGGGGGUGUGGGCUUUAAACCCAGAGAGAAAGCAUGUUAUUGGAAUACUCCUGCACUUUUCUCCCUUUGAAUCCCACC